CGGUGCAUGAUGGGCGGCGCCGCAAAGCGGGGAGGAGGAGGCCGGGAAGAGGCCGAGACAUCCGGGGACUCGCGCAUUCGUCCCUCGUAUGAGCGUGCAGACGCCUUAAAACUCACGCAUUGGCCCGUUGAGAGGCGGGAGGGAACAGGAAAAGAUGAGAGAGCCCUAACCCUGACCCCGUUAUGAGGGCCGACCCAAAUGUCACGGAGGGGCGGUGUCGGCGUGGUGUAAUGGUUAAGAGUGUCGGGCUAAGGACCUGGGUUCGAAUCCCCCCGGCCGUGGAACUCACUGGGUGGCUGUGGGCCCUUCACUGCCUCUCGACCUAACCUACCUCGCAGGGUGGUCGUUGGGAUUACACGUGGAGGAGGGGGAGAGCCCUGUGCGCCACUGAGGACCAUGGGGGGAGAAGGUGGCAUAUAAAUGCAAUAAGCAAAUAAAUGAGGGGGGGAAGAGAGAGAAAAGUAGCACCGCAGGCAGCAAACGCGUCGGACUCCCAGUUGCUGGGAUCCAUGGAAGGGAGAGGGCGGCUCGUCUUGCGUUCGAAUCCUGCUUACGGGUAAGGGCAUCUCUGGAGGGCUGCUUGCUGCAAGGAUAGGAGGACGAGGCCUCGCUUGGCCUCAUCCAGCGGCCAAGCUCUUCCUAUGGCCUUAUGGAUGCUCCUGGUGCAGGGGCAGCCUUUCUGCACCCCCAGGUUCUUAGAAUCAUUGUACAGUACUGUAUGUAGACCAGCUUAUUAUAUGAAGUCUGUGAAGUCUGCAAAGCUUAUCACGUGUAUGCUGGGGGUAUGCCGAUAAAUCCUUUGAAAUGUUUGCAGGGAUUGUAACGGUUUUCCACGGGAGAGCAGAGGCACAGAUCGGUUUUGCAGAGAUGUCACCUUACAAAACAGUUAUAAUCCCUGCAAAACCGUCUCUGCCUCAGCACUCACUCACUCCGCCCCCCCCCCGCAGCCACAGCCAAUUGCCCAACAGCCUGCAGAGCAGCAAGCUCCUCAAGACACUGCAAAAAAAACCAUCAACGGGGUUUAUUUACUUCAGAGUAGUUGGGGGGGUGUCUUGCCCUGCCCCACUUCUGUGCGUGUGUUGCGCAUGUUAAGGUGCUGCCUAGCCACCUCUCAGACAUGAAGUUCUUGCUCAAGAGUUAAAAAAAAAGCAAAUUGCUAUGCCCUUAAAGCCAGCCCUACCUCUUUCUUCCCUUCUGUGUGAGCUUUGAAGGCAGAAAGCAGGAUGCUGCCUUGGCUUCCCUUUCCCAGACAUGAAGUUCUUGCUUUUGUGUCCUAAUAGGGGUAAAUGGAGGGAAGAAGAUUUAACUGGCUGUCUCCUAUGGGAGAGGUUGCAUGGCCAUCUAUCACGCUGCUUGAGUUGAGGUUCCUUCAUUGGAGGGGGUUGGACUAGGUGACCCUCAGAGGUCCCUUCCAACUCUGAUUCUGUGAUCAUCCCAAAGGUGAUGCAAGUAUUCCCUGUGCCGUCUACUGGCAGGGAAGCUUCAGUUUCCCGUGUUCUGUGAAAUGGCUUAGUCCUUGCUUUCAUGUGCUGUAUUUGCUCUUUUUUUAAAAAAAGAAUUAUGUGUUCUUUGACUAUAAAAGCCUAUAUAUGGAUAAUCUAUUUUCUUUUAGUUUGUCCUAGAUUUCCAAAGCCCUAUAAGUUGCUCAUGGGGUCACGAAGAGUUGGACACGACUAAACAACAAGAAGUUGCUCAAAUUGUUAGGCAAUUGGGCAUCUUUUAUUUUUAAACUCAUUGAUCAACUAAAUUUCAUGGUUUCUUUUUAUCUUUUAAAUAUAUGGGACACGCCUAACCGUAGUUUUAAAGAUGAAAAGGAUUCAAAUAAAACUUCCCCCAAAAUGCAAGUGGGAGCAAUUGGUAAACAAAAAUAAUAGCAAAUAUACCUCAAGGCUGCAAUCUUAAACAGUUCUUAAGGAAUUGACCCCAUUUGAACACAGUGGUACUUCCGAGUGAAAAACUUUAAAAGCCCUACACCAACGAGUAAUCUAGGAUUGAGCUUCAUGUAGCUCUAGAAUGAUCUGCGUCACUCAAAUUUUUCAUUUCAACUAAUGGGAAUAUUUGUUUAGCUAUUUUUAAAAGUGCUGUGUUUGAUGGACACAUCUAUCUUUAGGCAAGAAGAGGGAAAUAGAGGAAAUGGAUGUGAAACAAGAAAGUCUUGGUACCGCUGACCUGGUAGUUUAUGGGCUCGCAUGGGAAACGUCCGAGUGCGAACUGGAGUUCUUCAGCAGAUUUGGAGCAGUUCUCAGGGUCCAGGUAUCUAGCGUAAGUAACUACCCUUGCAUGAGCCAUGACUGGCCAAAGCAUUGAAAUGUAACUGCUGUUUGUUGUGGUUUCUUAUUGCUUCACCCACUUCAAGUUACCCAAAAAUAAAUAAAUAAAUCGCCAUAAAAAAUGGUAUCCGAAACCUGGUAUCAGGAACACAAAUUUCUUUUUGGGAACAGGAUUGUUGAGGUGCCAUUUGCUGCCCUCAGACUUUUGUCUUCCUUGGUGCUGGGACUAAAGUGGCUGUGGUUCACUCAACUCAUGAUGGAAACAAGUCUUCCCUUGAGGGCCACUGAAGCAAGGGACUGGGACUGAGCAACCACAUCUUUCAGGUUUCAGAAUUUAGCUGCUUGUGGUUUUAGUUCGACAAAAACAUUUGUAUUAAAAUCUAAGGACUGCUGCUGCUUCCCAGCAAGGACCACCCUGCUGAGAGUCUGAUGGCCCUACUCCUGCCUCUCUCCACCUGGCCCAGGGCGGGGCCUGAUAGGCUUCAUAAGGACUGCUGCUGCCCCGCAAGAGGGAACUGCUGCUGCUUUUAAAUUGUUUUUUUUU